GGCCUCAGGAGAUAUAAACAUAAGUAGUUUAAUACAAAAAAAAAAAAGUCAUGGUAAAAAAUAACAAAGAAUUAUCCCCAGGAGAAGUUGACACUUCUCC